GGAGCCCUAUGUCACCUAGGUGAAUGUGUCUUGCUUAAGGGCUAAAAAGCAUGUCCUCUUAGGUGCCUAGCUUCUAAGGUGGCCCUUAGCUAUGAUUUUAACAAGACUAAGGUUGGAGGGGGAGAGGGGGACUGAGAUACAAGUCAUGAAGGAAGAGGACAUGGAAAUAACAUGAGAAAGAAAAGGAAGAGUACUCCAAUAAAUUUUAAAUUAAA
rnacentral:misc_RNA from 1 species